rnacentral:rRNA from 1 species
CGGCAUGCUUUACACAUGCAAGUCGAACGGCAGCACGGGUGCUUGCACCUGGUGGCGAGUGGCGAACGGGUGAGUAAUGCAUCGGAACGUGCCUAUUAGUGGGGGAUAACGCUUCGAAAGGAGUGCUAAUACCGCAUAAAUCUCUGAGGAGGAAAGCAGGGGACCUUCGGGCCUUGCGCUGAUAGAGCGGCCGAUGUCGGAUUAGCUAGUUGGUGAGGUAAAGGCUCACCAAGGCGACGAUCCGUAGCGGGUCUGAGAGGAUGAUCCGCCACACUGGGACUGAGACACGGCCCAGACUCCUACGGGAGGCAGCAGUGGGGAAUUUUGGACAAUGGGCGCAAGCCUGAUCCAGCCAUGCCGCGUGAGUGAAGAAGGCCUUCGGGUUGUAAAGCUCUUUUGUCCGGGAGCAAGUCCUACUGGCUAAUAUCUGGUGGGGAUGAGAGUACUGGAAGAAUAAGCACCGGCUAACUACGUG